rnacentral:piRNA from 1 species
UGGGAGAUUUUUGUUGUUGUUGCCCCA